rnacentral:siRNA from 1 species
CAUACUCAACUAAUUAACCAAUGC